AGUAUUUCUCUUUUUUCUUUGAUUUACCUUCCUCUUCUCCCUCCCUAUUUUUACAGCCCUGGCCCACUGUGACCCUGACACUCCCCCCUCCAGUUGCUCUGGUUUCAUUAAAGAUUGGCUGCUGCUCCUGAUGUGGCUGUUGUCUCCUUGUCCUGCAUGCCAUGCAGCCAGCUCUGUGCAACCCUAAUAAUGACAACCUCAAUCCUAGUGAAAGAUGAAUAAUAAGAACUGCUGCCGUUGGUCCCAGAAGAGCCUGCUAAGGAGGUGCUGAUCUGGAGAAUCUAUACCAACUCUCUCUUGGCUGGAUAGGAACCAGAGUCCUUGCUCCCGUCUUUGGCAGUCCCUGAUCUUACCACAUUAUUGUCACAUUUGUUUGCUGAGAAAACCAGCUUUAAAGAACAGUAAAUAUGCAAAACAGCUUUCACUCUAUACAGCUACCAUCUUGAAUACUCCACUUCCCCCACCAUCAAACACAUCCUAUCAAUAGAGGCAUGAAGAGACUGCCCAUGUAGGAGAGGGAAUCCUGAGCAAAGUUCCAGUGACAACCUUUCCCUUGUCCUUCUAUGAAAGCAUUGCUAGGCUGUAACGCUUCCACAUUGCUGGGUGUCAAGCAAUUGCAAAGAUUCAUA
rnacentral:lncRNA from 1 species